rnacentral:rRNA from 1 species
CCUACGGGAGGCAGCAGUGAGGAAUAUUGGUCAAUGGGCGCGAGCCUGAACCAGCCAAGUAGCGUGAAGGAUGACUGCCCUAUGGGUUGUAAACUUCUUUUGUAAAGGAAUAAAGUGAGGCACGUGUGCCUUUUUGUAUGUACUUUAUGAAUAAGGAUCGGCUAACUCCGUGCCAGCAGCCGCGGUAAUACGGAGGAUCCGAGCGUUAUCCGGAUUUAUUGGGUUUAAAGGGAGCGUAGAUGGGUUGUUAAGUCAGUCGUGAAAGUUUGCGGCUCAACCCUAAAAUUGCAAUUGAUACUGGGAGUCUUGAGUGCAGUUGAGGUAGGCGGAAUGCGUGGUGUAGCGGUGAAAUGCUUAGAUAUCACGAAGAACCCCGAUUGCGAAGGCAGCUUACUAAACUGCCACUGACAUUGAGGCUCGAAAGUGUGGGUAUCAAACAGGAUUAGAUACCCCAGUAGUC